CAAUAGCAUAUAUUAACGUUGUUGCAGUUGAAAAGCUCGUAGUUGAACUUUUGGUAGGAGCGACCUGGCCUUGGGCGCAUGCCCUUGUUUGCCGUGUGUCGUGUCUGGCCAUCCUUUUCCGUUUCGGCGGGAAUCUUUUACUGUGAGUAAACUGGAGUGCUCAAAACAAGACGUUUGUUUGGUACAUUAAAGCAUGGAAUAAUAGGAUAGGACCUGGUUACUAUUUUGUUGGUUUGCAUAGCUAGGUAAUGAUUAACAGGGACAGUUGGGGGUAUUCGUAUUUAAUUGUCAGAGGUGAAAUUCUUGGAUUUAUGAAAGACGAACGACUGCGAAAGCAUUUACCAAGGAUGUUUUCAUUAA
rnacentral:rRNA from 1 species